rnacentral:tRNA from 1 species
CUCUUCGGCGUGGGGUAGAGCAGUUUGGUAGCUCGCAAGGCUCAUAACCUUGAGGUCACGGGUUCAAAUCCUGUCUCCGUAAUAC